GGAAAAUAGCUCAGGGGUAGAGCACACGCUUAGCAUGCUUGAGGUGCUGGGUUCAAUCCCCAGUACCUCCA
rnacentral:tRNA from 1 species